rnacentral:ribozyme from 14 species
AAAGAGGUGGAAUGGAAAAAACAUGAAUGGUAAGCCUGGCAGUAUUCAAUAAUCUGUUAGAUUGGUGUUGUUUCUUUAUUAUCAUUAAUUUUAUUUUCCUCUUUCUCUCCUUCUUUUAUUACGAAAGUUCUCAUAUUCCUAUUCAGGACACAAGGAAGCAAUGUUACAUUU